rnacentral:ncRNA from 2 species
UUCUUAUAUAGAGAGACAGAGGGACUGGCCCAAUGAAGUCUCGGCAGCAGGCUCAAGAUGAGUGCUGUGCCAAAUCCAGCAAGCGAAAACGCUUGAAAGAUGAGAA